CUCUCCUCAUAAAGCGCCCCCACCGUGACGGUUGUUAAUCGUUUAUUUUGCGUUGGAUUGCGUGGGCUGAACAAUCCGGACAUCGUGGCCACCGACGUGGACCCCCGCCUCCGGGACCCACGCAGUGAGUAACGCGGGGUACUUCCUUCAUGAGCACUGCACAUGUUACACUCUCCCCAUCUCCUCCUGUCGUCUCUUCUCGCCCCUCUAUUGUACAUGUUUUACCGCUGGAGGUUAAUGUGGAUUUGCUGAUGGAAGUGGUAGUUUGUGUUGAGUGGUUUAUCUAUGGGAUCGACUGACUAACUAACGCUGCGGACCGCUACACCGACCACCACACUGGGAAGUGUCCUCUGCUCACUGUGGAAGCAGCAUGGAAGAACUGCAGCAACUCUGAUGGAAACGAGGACCUCCACGCUGUUGAACACAAACUGUUCUAGGCCUACUACAAACCGAGGCGGUCCCACUCGGUUAAAGAUCUCGUGGUCAAUGCGGCAGACCGCUGGACCUGGACGUCACCUUCUGCAGAUACUUCACUGCCCUCAGGAAUCCACGGAUAACUUGAAACACGUCCGACUCCACAUGUCCGAAAAAUCCAGGAUGGAAACUUGUGGAAGGAAGAAAGGGGUCUGUUUUUGCUCAACCCAUAACCCCACUGAGCCCUUCUGUGGAAACCUGUCUGACUGACCCUACUGACUGGGGGCCUGUUGAUGUGUGUUUGGUUGGUCUGGUAGAAAGUUUGCUGCUUGUGAUCUGCAAGAUGGUCCUGGGUUAGAUGCGGUGUCUGACUUGCACACCACUCUCCCAAUUCUAUUCUUCUCUUUACUACUUUUCUACUUUCAAUACACUUGCUGCUGCUGCUGUUAACCGCUGGUGGUGCAAUGUGGUUUUUAUUCGCUUAUGUUCUGUGGACUUUGCAUUUGUAUUUUAAUGAACAUGUUUACUGCCCGUUAGACCUCGGAUUGGCAAACCUAAACUCCUUCACUGGCAAAAUGUAGAUGCAAAUUAAAUGCCAAAAUUAACAUUUCAAUAUUCGUUUUGCGUAUUUCACCAAUAGCUUCGGAACUAGACGGACCUCGUAUAUAAUUUGCUCUUCAAAGAUGCGGUCAGACGCCCCUCCGUUAUAUAACGUUUUCUGCCCGGUACGAAAUAGACCGACCAAUAGCAACCCUUUAGGCUUUCUAAUGUGAGGUUGGAUAUACGCAACAUGUAGAGGUGUUUCAACAACAAAGAUGGAAGUUGGUGAACUAAAGACUGUAUAUGCUCACUAAAAGAACGAACGACUACUCAAAGAUUUUGAGGAAUAUGUAUUUCUACAUCACCCGUUCCAAUGCUAUGAUUAGUCGAGGCCUAUCCAAUAGCAUCGACCCAUUUUAGAUCGCGCCCUUUAGACACGCCCCUUGGAAAUUUAACAACCCACUUCAACGCAGAGGAUCCAGAAGGAUUUCACAACGAGUCCAUUGGAAGAUAUCGAGGAACAUGAACAUCACCAAUGAAGGAGAGUAACGUUUCCACUUGCUAGGAAUUUAGUGAAGCACUAAAUAGUUAAUAAUAAUGAUAAAAUGUGGUCACCAUUUAUUGACUUUUUGGGUAAGACUUGCUUUACUAAUAUAACCGCGUUAAUACCGCAUUCAUUUACUUUUCUUGCGUAGUUUCCCACUAUUCAUUAAAUGUUUUAUAGAAGUAAAAAAGUAAUCAAUAGAACUAUACACAUUUGUACAACAAUUAAUCAUUAUACAGGAUUUGAACAUUUUCUAUUCGAGCUCAUGCUUCAUAAUAUUUCCAAGGAUUGCAGAGUACCAAAUGAUUUAUGAACAGUUGUUUUUGUUCAGGAGCGGAUUGUACUCCCAGAGGCUUCAACAGAGCGGGUCUGGAGCUGGGAGCUGCAGGUGGAUGUUGGCCAGGAGCCGUUCAGUCCUACAGGAACAGACGGUAGAGGUGAUGGAGGCGCUCGUCUGGAGGCGCUCGUCUGGAGGUGCUCGUCUGGAGGUCCGUGGCGGUCGUCUGGAGGUGCUCGUCUGGAGGUCCGUGGCGGCCGUCUGGAGGUGCUCGCCGUGAGGUCCGUGGCGGUCGUCUGGAGGCGCUCGCUGCAGGCGGAGGGAAGGCCGGGAGCCGUGCAGCCCAACGGAUGCAGAACGAAGGACUGAGGCAGAGGCCAGCCUGGAGGCGGCGGUGGCCUGGAGGUCCUGGAGGCGUCCAACCUGGAAGGGGCGGCAUGGAGGGCCAGCUGGCGGCUCCUCAUCCAAAGGGCCUGGAGGCGGCCAACCUGGAAGGCCUGGAGACGGCCGAGGUCCUGGAGGCAACGGCGGCGUCCUGGAGGGCCCGGUGGCUGCGU